GACGAACGCUGGCGGCGUGCCUAAUACAUGCAAGUAGGACGCAGUUGCGAACGGGGGAGUAACGCGUAGGUAACUACCUAUAAGAGGGGGAUAACUAUUGGAAACGAUAGCUAAUACCGCAUACUAGUAGAUGGACCUGCGUUUUAUUAGCUAGUAGGUAGGGUAAUGGCCUAUCUAGGCAACGAUACAUAGCCGACCGUAGAGUGGGAUCUGCCACACUGGGACUGAGGCACGGCCCAAACGCCGACGGGAGGCAGCAGUAGGGAAUCCUCGGCAAUGGGGGGAACCCUGACCGAGCGACGCCGCGUGAGUGAAGAGGGUUUUCGGAUCGUAAAGCUCUGUUGUUUAGAAAGCGGUACUUAGCCAGAAAGGGCCGGCUAACUACGUGCCAGCAGCCGCGGUAAUUC
rnacentral:rRNA from 1 species